GCUCCUUUAGUCCUUUUUUAGCAAAGAAAAGAAGAAUAUGAUGAUGUGGUCCAAGAUGAGGACAACCGAUAUGAUGUGGGCCGGAACCGAUGAGUUUUGACUGUGUAUCUCACAUUCGAGCUGCUGCAGUUUCAAGAGUGAAGGGAGGGGCAUGUCUUCAACUGAAACUGCCGUACAAUGGAUUAGUUCUUGUGCUGCUGCUUUUACUCCGUUGGAUAGAAACUUCUUGCACAUAAUUGCUCCCUGGUUAUCUAAAUCUCUUUCAUGUCCUCAUUUACAACAUGGUAAAUUCAACCCAUGCAUUAUGGUCUUGUCACCUUAAUUUGGACAUUUAUUAUGAAAACAGUCAUGGUGAUCAAAUAUACAUUGUAGGACAACCUGAACCUUCCUCUGUACAACAACCUCAAAGGGCGUCCAAAGUUGCUACAAUCUUCUCCAAAAGCUAGAUAGUAACUGGGACAACAAGUGGUCUUAGAAGAUAACACGGAGGACAAAAAUAACACACCAAAAUGCCCUGCUUUGUGUGAAAUGCUGUCGAGGCAGCAUGUCUUAGCAGAGAAGAGGACUUUCUAUUUGCAGAGAAGAGGACUUUCUAUUUGCAGCAGAUGCUACCUGUGUGAAAAAUGACAAAGGAAUCUAUCAGCCAUUUAAAUUUUUUUGGUGUUGACUUCAUGAUGCCACAGUAUAUGAAAUGAUUACUUUCAGAUUGGCAAGCACAAAGAAUUGAUAAAGCAUUCUUCUAUUGUAAAAUAAAAAUGUAUAUUUCCAAUCCUUCAUUAAAUUACCACAUGUAUCAACUGGUACAUGACAUUACAUGUG